CCCCCCAGCACCAUCAUAGCCUUUCCCUGAUCUGCCCCUUUAAGAAAAAUCAACCCACUCUAAGCCUAACCCUUUGUACACUGACCUUACACACUGGACAAUAUUUAAGGAUCAAGGUACCAUCCUAUAAAGAGCGCCACCGCUCCCCCAGCUCGCUCUGUAGCCCUGUACAAUGAUUUCAGAGGACGCAGACAAUACGGAUCAAAGCAGCACCAGAGCCAGUUUCUCUGAAGACACGUGGAAAAGAGAAGAAAUCGCCGGCAUUGUGUUGAGUUUCACGCAUUGUUUGCCUGUGGAGAACAAGGGAGCGAAUUCCCCCGAGAAGGCAAAGCCCCGAACCUGGAGGGUGUGUGGGGAGAGGGGCGGGGGCGAAGGUGGGGUUCGCUCUAUUGUUCCUAAUUCAUUCUGAUUAACAACGAUUCCUAAUCAAAAAAUGUUGGCUUCAAAGUCGGAGAGCCAGGAGGACGUAAUGAGGAGUCCGCGCCACGGAUCGUGUGUAAAAACUGUCCCCUUCCUUUUUUCUCGGUAUAAAUAAAACGGGGCCAAUGGACGAAGACA